GAUUUCUGGCGUUUCAUUUCAGGCCGGCCACGGUUUCGUGUGUUAGUGCUUGAGAUCUUCGCCAUCCUUCCAAUGGCUAUUCAUCCUUCUUCAUUGAAGGUGUGAGUGGUAUUGGAUCUUUUACUUUGAAAAAAUUAGAGUGUUUCAAGCAGGCUUUAUGCUAUGAAUACAUUAGCAUGGAAUAAUAAUUUAGGACUUUAUUCCUAUUUAUUGGUUUCUGGAGUAGAGUAAUGAUUGAUAGGGAUAGUUGGGGGUGCUAGUAUUCAUCGGCCAGAGGUGAAAUUCUUGGAUUCGAUGAAGACUAACUAAUGCGAAAGCAUU
rnacentral:rRNA from 1 species